rnacentral:rRNA from 1 species
UCGAGAAUCUUCCGCAAUGGACGAAAGUCUGACGGAGCGACGCCGCGUGGUAGAUGAAGUCCUUAGGGACGUAAAUACCUUUUAUGAGGGAAGAAGUUUAUUGACGGUACCUCAUGAAUAAGGGGCUCCCAAUUCUGUGCCAGCAGGAGCGGUAAUACAGAAGCCUCAAGCGUUACCCGGAUUUACUGGGCGUAAAGGAUGUGUAGGUGGUGUAAUUAGUCGGGCGUUAAAUCCAGAGGCUCAACCUCUG